UUUGCAUAAAGUACAAACGAUUUUCCUGGUCGCCUUGUGUUUCUUAUGUGAGCUAUUCGUAUCUGCCAAUUAUUAAAUUGGAUUUAAAGUGGCUGUUUCUCGAUGCCCACAAUACCCACACUGUGGAAAGAGCUGAGAUAGCCGUCGGCAGAAGAAUGGAUACCGAAGAUGCGGUGUAUACAGCCCCUGCUUCUCCCUCUCCCUCUUUCCUCACCUAAAAGGGUUUGCCAGCUCACGGUUGGCCUCACACGGAAGUACUGAAGAGGGAGUGCCGAACACAAACUUUGCUUUUCUUCUCCCUUUUGCCCGCGGCUGUUCUCACCGCGAGCAGAGACGGAGUGUGGAGAAAUCAGGAAGCCAGGUUGUCCAACAAAGACUAGGCGAGCUGAUGCUGAUUCAUCGUCCGUCUGUGCCCUCUGCCUCCGGGCCUCGCCAGUACGAAAUGUCUCGGGUGUGCAGAGAAGGCGAGGGAGUAUUCUAAACAACAUCCAGGGGCGCCUGGGUGGCGCAGUCGUUAAGAGUCUGCCUUCGGCUCAGGGCGUGAUCCCGGCGUUCCGGGAUCGAGUCCCACAUCGGGCUCCUCUGCUGGGAGCCUGCUUCUUCCUCUCCCACUCCCCCUGCUGUGUUCCCUCUCUCACUGGCUGUCUCUCACUCUCUCUGUCACAUAAAUAAAUAAAAUCUUUAAAAUAA
rnacentral:lncRNA from 1 species